rnacentral:rRNA from 1 species
GAUGAACGCUAGCUCCAGGCUUAACACAUGCAAGUCGAGGGACCGGCGCAAGGGCGAGUAACACGUAUCCAACCCGCUCCUUACUCGGGGAUAGCCUUUCGACAGAAAGAUUAAUACCCGAAUUUAAGGAUGGGGAUGCGUUCCAUUAGGUUUUUGGUGAGGUAACGGCACACCAAGCCUUCGAUGGAUAGGGGUUCUGAGAGGAAGAGACCCCACAUUGGAAAUGAGCCGCAGUCCAAACUCCUACGGGAGACAGAAGUGAGGAAUAGUGGUCAGAGGAAGCUAGCCAAAACCAGCCGAGUAGAGUGAAGGAUGAAGGCUUAUAGAUCGUAAACUUCAUUUAUAUAAGAAUAUGUAAUAAAAGAAUAAGAAACGGCUAACUCCGUGCCAGCAGCCGCGGUAAUUC